UACGAAGGGUGCAAGCGUUAAUCGGAAUUACUGGGCGUAAAGCGUGCGUAGGCGGUUUGUUAAGUCUGCUGUGAAAUCCCCGGGCUCAACCUGGGAAUGGCAGUGGAUACUGGCAAGCUAGAGUGUGUCAGAGGGUGGUGGAAUUCCCGGUGUAGCGGUGAAAUGCGUAGAGAUCGGGAGGAACAUCAGUGGCGAAGGCGGCCACCUGGGAUAACACUGACGCUCAUGUACGAAAGCGUGGGUAGCAAACAGG
rnacentral:rRNA from 1 species